AGAGUUUGAUCAUGGCUCAGGAUGAACGCUAGCUACAGGCUUAACACAUGCAAGUCGCGGGGCAGCAUGUUACUGGCUUGCCAGUAAUGAUGGCGACCGGCGCACGGGUGAGUAUCGCGUAUCCAACCUUCCCAUAUCCACGGGAUAGCCUGCCGAAAGGCAGAUUAAUACCGUAUGUUGUCGCACGCUGGCAUCAAAAUGCGACGAAAGGCUUAGCGGAUAUGGAUGGGGAUGCGUCCGAUUAGCUUGACGGCGGGGUAACGGCCCACCGUGGCGACGAUCGGUAGGGGUUCUGAGAGGAAGGUCCCCCACAUUGGAACUGAGACACGGUCCAAACUCCUACGGGAGGCAGCAGUGAGGAAUAUUGGUCAAUGGGCGGAAGCCUGAACCAGCCAAGUAGCGUGCAGGAUGACGGCCCUAUGGGUUGUAAACUGCUUUUAUGCGGGGAUAAAGUAUGGGACGUGUCCCAUUUUGCAGGUACCGCAUGAAUAAGGACCGGCUAAUUCCGUGCCAGCAGCCGCGGUAAUACGGAAGGUCCGGGCGUUAUCCGGAUUCAUUGGGUUUAAAGGGAGCGUAGGCCGCCCCUUAAGCGUGUUGUGAAUGCCGCGGCUCAACCGUGGCACUGCAGCGCGAACUGGGGGGCUUGAGUGUGCGCGACGCAGGCGGAAUUCGUGGUGUAGCGGUGAAAUGCUUAGAUAUCACGAGGAACCCCGAUUGCGAAGGCAGCUUGCGGGAGCACUACUGACGCUGAAGCUCGAAGGCGCGGGUAUCGAACAGGAUUAGAUACCCUGGUAGUCCGCGCGGUAAACGAUGGAUGCCCGCUGUGUGCCAUUAUGGUAUGCGGCCAAGCGAAAGCGUUAAGCA
rnacentral:rRNA from 1 species